rnacentral:rRNA from 1 species
AGUGAACGCUGGCGGUAGGCCUAACACAUGCAAGUCGAACGGCAGCACAGUAAGAGCUUGCUCUUACGGGUGGCGAGUGGCGGACGGGUGAGGAAUACAUCGGAAUCUACUUUUUCGUGGGGGAUAACGUAGGGAAACUUACGCUAAUACAGCAUACGACCUACGGGUGAAAGCAGUGGAUCUUCGCACCUUGCGCGAUUGAAUGCGCCGAUGUCGGAUUAGCUAGUUGGCGGGGUAAAGGCCCACCAAGGCGACGAUCCGUAGCUGGUCUGAGAGGAGGGUCGGCCGCACUGGAACUGAGACACGGUCCAGACUCCUACGGGAGGCAGCAGUGGGGAAUAUUGGACAAUGGGCGCAAGCCUGAUCCAGCCAUACCGCGUGGGUGAAGAAGGCCUUCGGGUUGUAAAGCCCUUUUGUUGGGAAAGAAAAGCAGCAGGUUAAUACCCCGCUGUUCUGACGGUACCCAAAGAAUAAGCACCGGCUAACUUCGUG